GGUGGCCCCAUCGGUCCCCCCGCAUUGAUUACCCGUUAACCUGGUCAGGCCCGGAAGGGAGCAGCCAUAGCGGGAACAUCGAGUGCCGGGGUGUGGCUGGUGGGGCCGCCUCCAUUU
rnacentral:SRP_RNA from 2 species